CUGGUUCUUUUUUCUUUCACUUCCAUUCAGAAAUGAAUAGGGGAGGGAGGAAAAAAAAAAAG
rnacentral:pre_miRNA from 1 species